rnacentral:rRNA from 1 species
AUUGAAUGCUUGCGGCAGGCCUAACACAUGCAAGUCGAACGAGUGGCGGACGGGUGAGUAAUGUCUGGGACACUGCCCGAUGGAGGGGGAUAACUACUGGAACCGGUAGCUAAUACCGCAUACCAACGAAUGUGCCCAGUGGGGAGUAGCUAGUAAUGUGGGUAACGGCUCACCUAGGCGACGAUCCCUAGGUGGUCUGAGAGGAUGACAAUCCGCACUGGAACGGUGACCCGGGCCAGACGCCUACGGGAGGCAUCAGUGGGGAAUAUUGCACAAUGGGCGCGAGCCUGAUGCAGCCAUGCCGCGUGUAUGAAGAAGGCCUUCGGGUUGUAGAGUACUUUCAGCGAGGAGGCGUGACUCGCAGAAGAAGCACCGGCUGACUCCGGGCCAGCAGCCGCGGUAAUUC